GCAGGUGUAGCUUCAGUCGGCAGAGCGCCGCCUUGGUAAGGCGGAGGUCAUGAGUUCGAGUCUCAUCACCUGCUCCA
rnacentral:tRNA from 1 species